rnacentral:lncRNA from 1 species
UGAGCCCCGACCCCCUGAACACACACACACACACACAUACACACACACACACACACGCUGAGCUACCGCCAAUGCUUGAGCCCCCAGCCCUUACACACACCCAUACACGUGCACAAACACACACACACACGCUGAACCACCUUCAUCACUUGAGCACCCAGCCCCUAGACACAUACACACACACACACACACACACACACGUUGGACCACCUGCAACACUUAAGCCCCCAGCCCGUGCACACAUACACACACACACAUGCUCUGGGCCCCUUCCAACACUUGAGCCCCUUCCCCCCCGCCCCCGCACACACACACACGCUGAUGCGGAGCAUUUAGCACAGUUUCCUUGCUGAAAAAGCAGGACCUCACUUUAGAAAAUGGAAAUUGCCCAGGAGGAAAAGAGAACUGAGAUAUAUGCAGCCCCAGGUGCCUCCUUCUAAUUCAUCUUGUAUGGCUUCACCAUUGUGGUUGUCAAUAUGGCAUGCAGAAUUAUCCCUCUUUCCAGGUUUUCCUCAAGGACCCUGGACAAUGCUGGUUUUUUCUAUGUGCACCACCAAAGGGCCCAUCCAGUUGUCAUCCAAGCAAUUGUCCCCUGCUCCUUCAUGCCCAUGCUAUCCCUGGCUCCCUCCCUCCUUCAUUGCAGAGCUGCAAUGGGGCAGAC